rnacentral:piRNA from 1 species
UCUUAUAUACUGUGUGACGAUUUGGUC